rnacentral:rRNA from 1 species
GACGAACGCUGGCGGCGUGCCUAAUACAUGCAAGUUGAGCGCUGAAGGUUGGUACUUGUACCAACUGGAUGAGCAGCGAACGGGUGAGUAACGCGUGGGGAAUCUGCCUUUGAGCGGGGGACAACAUUUGGAAACGAAUGCUAAUACCGCAUAAAAACUUUAAACACAAGUUUUAAGUUUGAAAGAUGCAAUUGCAUCACUCAAAGAUGAUCCCGCGUUGUAUUAGCUAGUUGGUGAGGUAAAGGCUCACCAAGGCGAUGAUACAUAGCCGACCUGAGAGGGUGAUCGGCCACAUUGGGACUGAGACACGGCCCAAACUCCUACGGGAGGCAGCAGUAGGGAAUCUUCGGCAAUGGACGAAAGUCUGACCGAGCAACGCCGCGGGAGGGAAGAAGGUUGUCGGAUCGUAAAACUCUGUUGGUAGAGAAGAACGUUGGUGAGAGUGGAAAGCUCAUCAAGUGACGGUAACUACCCAGAAAGGGACGGCUAACUACGUG